CCGGGCACGGGCCGUCCCGUGGGGUGCGGGAGGCAGGGGAAGGGGGGAAAUGAGGCUGGAAGUCCCAGGAUACAGAUGACAGCGGAUAGCACGGCGAUUGCUGAUUUUCCGAGGCGUCUUUAGCAAUAUCUACUCGGGAGUUAUUUUGUUCUGCUUCUCAGGUAUGAGAGAAGUUAAACCUCCCUUUCCCUCUUCCCAGGGUUGGGUUUGCUGAAAAGCCUCCGAGAUUAAAGACACUUCCCAAAUUUUCCCUUAAGACGCCCAGGAGCUGAAUGCAGACAGAUUUUAGUCAGCGGCUCAGUCUCAAGUCUGUCCUGCCUCAGACACGCCGAGCCAGAGGGAGAGCAGAGCCGGGCGCCGAGCGUCCCAUGCAGAGGAGACAGCCCCAGCUGCAGGGUCUACCCGGCUUUUCCAGCGCUAAGUCAAGCGUCGGAGAGCGCUUUCGUUCGCCGCGACUGCUGCUGUGCAGUCUUCCCCAUGAGACAAACUUUAUGUCCGUAAGAGGAGGAGAAAAACGGCGUUGAAGGACUUGACUCACAGCGCAGCGGAGUUGGAGGCUUUUUGGGCUGAAGGAUGUUACCCUGACACCCCGGCCCUGCGCCUCUGGAGGGACCGCUGGAGACGGGAAGGAAAUUCUGGAGGAAUUCAGAGAGGUCAGGGACACCUGAGGAUCCCCACGGAGUCCGGCUGGGUGUCUGGUGGGUCCUCUUCGGGCCCCGCGGGGACCUACCAGCCCCAGCCCCGGCCCCGGCCGCUGCGCUCCCGAUCCAAAAUCCACAGCACCAUCUCCUGGGCAGCGGGAGAAGUGCAUGGCCCGCCUCGGAGGCGGCCGGGCUGGUGGCGACGGUGGAGGGAAAAGACUGAUGUGGGACUGGAGCCAUUGAAAACUACAUGAAAAUGUAAAAAAGAAAUUACAUGGAAAUGUGAACAUGUUUUGGCAUGGGGAGAUUAAUAAUUCCUUUGGUGUCCCUUUUGGAGCUGAAGCCGGUGGAUUGAUGUCUGUGCUUGGACAAGUGUCAGUAGGUUCUCCGUAGGUGUUGUCUGUCCAAUUACGUAGAUACACUAGUAACUAUAUGUACUUGAAACACAUUAAGGAUGGAAGAACCUGAUGCUGUCCCAGUUUCAGGGACAACACAGAGUGUAUAGGUAGUGACAAACUCACCAAGGCAUUACACUGAGGUUUGCGGAGAAAGACUUCCUUUCUGACCUGUCCCCCGAGAAGCCUCUUUAGGCCCUCCAAGCCAUUUUUCUCCUCAUACAUCUGGUUCCCCACGUGUGUACACUUCUGCUUUGGCCAAACCAGGGUUACUGCUGUAGCUCUCCUUAGCAACCCAUUCCCUGGAUUGACAGAGCUGCUGGUUAUGCUUAUUUUUCUACUUCAGCCUGAACUCUGUCUCACAUAGCUCUGUCUGAGUGCUCUGUUCUUGUUUCCAGCUCUCAGAGUAAGUCCUCAUUCUUUCCACUCCUUUCAAACACAGCCCAAGAAAUGUCUGGGUGGGUCUCAGAAAGAGCAGAGCCUAGAGCUCUGGCCAUGUACACCUAAUAUUUACUCCCUGUCCAGCUUUCACUUUCACUCCUGACCCUAUUUUUUUUCUACUGGAAACUUCCCACUGUAAGGAACAUGGCACUGAGCUUAUUCUUCCCACCCUUGUUGGACUAGGCUAUAGAUGUCUAUUUUCAGUUAAUAUUUCAUUGUCAAACAGUUUCUGUAGGCCUUUACUUUUCCUUCCAUGCUUCUUGAACUCCAUCCAGUUCACUUUUAUUGGUACUGAAAGUACUUAAAUCUGAAAGCAGUAGUCGAGGUGCUAUCUCAUCAGUAUUGUAUACUCAGAGAGACAUCUAUCACUUCCCAGGUAUAUGACACGAUGCCUCUGUGUUAGAAGCCCAAAAAUUACAUUGGAUUUUUUUUUUUUUUUGGUCACACUGCUAGAUCCUAUUUAAUUUACUGAAGUUCAUAGAUAAAAAUCUAUAUGUUAGUAGGCCUGUAUAUUAUACCUACUGUAUUCCCUUCAGUCACCACUUUGCAAUUAUAGGAAGAAAAAAAUACUUUUGCGUGCCUUCCUUCCAUUCCUUAUAAAUCCAUGCUGUUUAUUGGUUGUGGAUCCAUUCUCCCCUAAGUGCUUAAGAUUUUUACCUUUUAAUAUUUUUUCCACUAUAUUACUGCAGUCUGAAGUUAGGCUUACCAGAUGGUAGAUGACAGGUUCACUCUUUCUCUUCCUUUACCCGUGUAAUUUUUGAAGACCAGUAACAUGCUCCCCUAUCUUUUCAGAUACCUUAGAGCUCACUAAUUCUCCAGGAACAUUUUAAAAUAUUGUCAGUAUUUUGGGUAAGUUCAUUAGUUAAUUCCCUUUCUUCCCCAUGUUGCACAUCAUAAGGAUAUGCUCAGUUUCCCAUCCUUAGUUUUCCCUCCCACAACUUUCCUUAUGACCUUCUCUCAACAAUCCUAACUACAAGGUUGUUUUUCUUAAUUGUACUUUAUUUUUGCACAAAAAUUACAAUUUAGUACUUCUGCUAAUUUAGAAUCAUCGCUCCUUUUGUUGUCUUCUUUGUAGAAUAACAAAUCUCUUUUAUUCCUAUUCUCCCUUCUUCCCCUUGUAAUUAAAAGAUCAGUUUAGAAUCUAUACACAUCUAAGUAGUUGCUACAUUGAAAAAUGGAGGUACUAUCAUUUGCAAUGCUGUUAUAUGCUAUAAAUAAGGCAAUUUUAUAUGUUUAAUAACUUAUCAUGGGCAUAAAAUAAAAAAAUGUGCUGAAAUACAUUUCAGGAAGAGUCAAAAUCCAUAUAUUAACCAGUUAAUUUUUUUUUCUCAAACUAUUCCUAUAUUUCAACUAUUUUUGAAGUAAAGUGUAAGGUCAUUUCCCAUUACAUCCCUUUAGUUGCCAUCAUAAGUAACAAGAAAGAACAAAGAAUUUCCUUCCUGGAUUACUUCUGCUAAAUUCAUACUUUAAUCUUUUGGUAGAUGAUGUUUUUCAAACACACUCAGAUGUCUGAUUGUCAGCUUUAUGUCCCAGGAAGUAUUCCCAGCAAUUCAGGUACAGUAAAGUAUCUACCUCUAGCA